rnacentral:rRNA from 1 species
ACACCGCCCGUCACACCACGAGAGUUUGUAACACCCGAAGCCGGUGGAGUAACCAUUUGGAGCUAGCCGUCGAAGGUGGGACAAAUGAUUGGGGUGAAGUCGUAACAAGGUAGCCGUAUCGGAAGGUUCGGCUGGAUCACCUCCUUUCUAAGGA